GAGUAACGCGUAUGCAACCUGCCCGUUUCAGCGGGAUAACCCGGAGAAAUCCGGCCUAAUACCGCAUGUGGCCGAGGGGAGGCAUCUUCGUUCGGCCAAAGGAGGCGACUCCGGAGACGGAUGGGCAUGCGUGACAUUAGCUUGUUGGCGGGGUAACGGCCCACCAAGGCGACGAUGUCUAGGGGUUCUGAGAGGAAGGUCCCCCACACUGGUACUGAGACACGGACCAGUCUCCUACGGGAGGCAGCAGUGAGGAAUAUUGGUCAAUGGGCGAGAGCCUGAACCAGCCAAGUCGCGUGAAGGAUGACGGCCCUACGGGUUGUAAACUUCUUUUGUCAGGGAGCAAUUGAGUCCACGUGUGGGCUUAGCGAGAGUACCUGAAGAAAAAGCAUCGGCUAACUCCGUGCCAGCAGCCGCGGUAAUACGGAGGAUGCGAGCGUUAUCCGGAUUUAUUGGGUUUAAAGGGUGCGUAGGCGGAAUAUCAAGUCAGCGGUAAAAAUUCGGGGCUCAACCCC
rnacentral:rRNA from 1 species